CGUGGACCCGUGAUCCGGGUUGCGGACAGUGUCUGGUGGGUAGUUUGACUGGGGCGGUCUCCUCCUAAAGAGUAACGGAGGAGCACGAAGGUUGGCUAAUCCUGGUCGGACAUCAGGAGGUUAGUGCAAUGGCAUAAGCCAGCUUGACUGCGAGCGUGACGGCGCGAGCAGGUGCGAAAGCAGGUCAUAGUGAUCCGGUGGUUCUGAAUGGAAGGGCCAUCGCUCAACGGAUAAAAGGUACUCCGGGGAUAACAGGCUGAUACCGCCCAAGAGUUCAUAUCGACGGCGGUGUUUGGCACCUCGAUGUCGGCUCAUCACAUCCUGGGGCUGAAGUAGGUCCCAAGGGUAUGGCUGUUCGCCAUUUAAAGUGGUACGCGAGCUGGGUUUAGAACGUCGUGAGACAGUUCGGUCCCUAUCUGCCGUGGGCGCUGGAGAACUGAGGGGGGCUGCUCCUAGUACGAGAGGACCGGAGUGGACGCAUCACUGGUGUUCGGGUUGUCAUGCCAAUGGCACUGCCCGGUAGCUAAAUGCGGAAGAGAUAAGUGCUGAAAGCAUCUAAGCACGAAACUUGCCCCGAGAUGAGUUCUCCCUGAGACUUAGAGUCUCCUGAAGGAACGUUGAAGACGACGACGUUGAUAGGCCGGGUGUGUAAGCGCAGCGAUGCGUUGAGCUAACCGGUACUAAUGAACCGUGAGGCUUAACCUUACAACGCCGAAG
rnacentral:rRNA from 2 species